rnacentral:rRNA from 1 species
GACGAACGCUGGCGGCGCGCUUAAUACAUGCAAGUCGAGCGAGAACCAGGGCUUCGGCCCUGGGGACAGCGGCGAACGGGUGAGUAACACGCGGGUAAUCAACCCCCGACACCGGGAUAGCCCAGGGAAACUUGGAUUAAUACCGGAUGCCCCAUCUGGCUUUCGAGCCGGCUGGAAAAGGGUAGCUUCGGCCUCCGGUCGGGGACGAGCCCGCGGCGGAUUAGCUUGUUGGUGAGGUAAAGGCUCACCAAGGCGACGGUCCGUAGCUGGUCUGAGAGGACGGUCAGCCACACUGGGACUGGGACACGGCCCAGAGUCCUACGGGAGGCAGCAGUAGGGAAUCUUGCGCAAUGGGCGAAAGCCUGACGCAGCGACGCCGCGUGAGGGAAGAAGGCCUUCGGGUUGUAAACCUCUUUCAGGAGGGACGAAGCCACUCGGGUUAAUAGCCUAGAGGGUGACGGUACCUCCAGAAGAAGCCCCGGCUAACUACGUGCCAGCCGCCGCGGUAAGAC